GUCCGUCGAGACCUUGCAACAGAAGCACGACGCAUCCUCCGAAAAUGAAGUUUCUGGCGUUGACUCUGACUGUCCUUCUGGCGUUGUCGGUGGCGCUGGUCGGCGCCAGUCCGGCCCCCUUGCUCAAGAAGCUGCUGAAGCUCUUUAAGAAAGGGGGAGGCAUCGGGGGCGGUCUGCACCACCCGGUUCCGCCGCCCCUGUUCCACCCGCCGAUCUACGGUCACGGGUUCGGUUACGGCCACCACAAAGGCUUCGGAAGAUGAGGAGGAAGGCUCGAGAUUGCCGCUAUGAGGCCGGAAAUUCUCACCUUAGCUUUGUCGUCGAGUGAAACUUAGCUUCGUGUUUCGAGUUCUAUGUGUUGGUUAUUUAUUGUAAAAAAAAAAAAAAAAAAAAAAACAGAAUUAGAUGACAUUUAGUACACGUUUCGGAUAUAAAGUUUACAAAACA